rnacentral:rRNA from 1 species
UACAGAGGUCUCGAGCGUUGUUCGGAAUCACUGGGCGUAAAGCGCACGUAGGCGGCUUGUUAAGUCAGGGGUGAAAUCCUGGAGCUCAACUCCAGAACUGCCUUUGAUACUGGCGAGCUUGAGUUCGGGAGAGGUGAGUGGAACUGCGAGUGUAGAGGUGAAAUUCGUAGAUAUUCGCAAGAACACCAGUGGCGAAGGCGGCUCACUGGCCCGAUACUGACGCUGAGGUGCGAAAGCGUGGGGAGCAAACAGG